rnacentral:misc_RNA from 1 species
UUUCCGUAGGUGAACCUGCGGAAGGAUCAUUACUGAGUGCGGGCCCCUCGCGGUCCAACCUCCCACCCGUGUUUAACGAACCUUGUUGCUUCGGCGGGCCCCCCUCACGCCCCCCGGGGGGCAUCUGCCCCCGGGCCCGCGCCCCCCGCAGCCACCUAUGAACGCUGUCUGAACUAUGCAGUCGGAGACAAUUAUUAAAUUAAUUAAAACUUUCAACAACGGAUCUCUUGGUUCCG